AAAAAGAAGACGCUGUUGAAUGUCACGGUUGCUGCCACCACACCUUCGAGACGUCUUCCAAGAAAUACAGUCAUAACUGCAUCAGUGCCACGGAGAGGCGACGCCACUUCUGCAGCCACCAGCUCUGCAACAGGCUCAAUAAGUCGCUGCAAUGGCAUACACGCAAAUGCCAGGUAUAGCAGCAGUGGGACAAGAUGCACCAUCUCCUGGCCAGCAGUUUGGAAUAAAAGCAACAGGUGGACCAAUGGUACAAGGUCCGACUCGAUCACCAGAGUUGAUUCAAUAUCAGGCAGGUCAUACUGCACAACCCCCGAAGGCAUUUCUACAGCAACUUGAGCUACGGUCGUUCUCCGUCAUGUGUCCACCUGGCUUGGAAUAUAUGUCGGGCAUUGCCCAACUCAUCAUCGAGAGACAACGAACGGGCGUCGGUGUUCUGAAUCGCUACGACGCACAAAGUAGAUACGCCAUAAAUACCAGCCAAAAUGAAACCAUUUACAACAUCGGUG